CUAUGGGCUGGACCAAUGACCGACAACUGGCACGAGGUAAUCAACAUGUCUGAUUGCGAUAAGGCAAUUCUUGCACCGUUGCUCGGGGAUCGUGCGUUUAGAUAUCAUCCCCCCGUCUUUCGAUCGACUAGUCGUCCAGUAUCUGCCGCGAUGCACGCUCUUCUUCCACGAGUUUGCCUAAUGGCACUUCUAAUUCCUGCAGUCUUUGCCGUUUUACCAUCGUACAUAAAACCGUGCAAGAAGAGGGAUCCGGACAUAAACGAGUGUAUCACCAGAUCGAUCGAUCAGCUUCGCGACAAAUUAUCAGCCGGGAUACCGGAAUUCGAGGCGCCACCCAUCGAGCCUCUCUACCUCAAGCAAAUUCGCCUGUCCAGGGGACCGGUUGGAGCCAGACUCGACGUCAAUCUCACGGAUUUGCAGGUGUCCGGCCCAUCCACCUUCAAAGUUCGAGAUCUCAAAGCGGAUGUCGAGAACGUGGUGUUCACCUUCAAGGUCAACUUUGAGAAACUGUAUUUCCAAGGGAAGUAUCAGAUCGACGCGAGGGUGCUUUUGCUCAAGCUGACGGGGGAGGGGAACAUCACUGGAACCUUUACCAAUUACGAUUCGGACGUCGUUUUACGGGCGCACAAAGUGUACAGAGACAAUGAUAUCUACCUCAACUUUGAAAGAAUGAAAGUGAAGAUCAGGAUUGGCAAAGCGCACUUGCAUCUUAGCAAUUUGUUCGGCGGUGACACUGUUCUCUCUGCAGCCACCCAUGAUCUGUUGAACAACAACAACGCGUUGUUCUUGGACGAGAUCACUCCAGUGUUGGAGACAUCCUUGGCGGAUCUUUUCACGAACGUGGCCAACAAGAUUACAAAAUCUUUCACGUACAAAGAACUGUUUCCGGAUGAUUGAAUCUUCCAUCGAGACUUCAUUCGUUUACUUUGUCUUGUAAAAAUUUGUACAGUUGAUCUAUAAAUUUUUCAAA
rnacentral:misc_RNA from 1 species